rfam:Oryza barthii chromosome 6, whole genome shotgun sequence.
AAUAAGCGUAGCCAUUAGUUUCCGUGUCCAACUUUGACUGUCCGUCUUAUUUAAUUUUUUAUAAUUAGUGUUCUUAUUGUUAUUAGAUUAAAAAACAUGAAUAAUACUUUAUGCGUGACUUAUGUCUUUUUAGUUUUUCAAAAAAAAAUCAAAUAAGACAGACGAUUAAAGUUAGACGCGGAAACUCAUGGCUGCGUUUAUU